CCUACGGGAGGCAGCAGUGGGGAAUCUUGCGCAAUGCACGAAAGUGUGACGCAGCAACGCCGCGUGGAGGAAGAAGGCUCUCGGGUCGUAAACUCCUUUCAGUUGGGACGAAGCUUCGUCGGUUAAUAGCCGGCUGGAGUGACGGUACCUUCACAAGAAGCACCGGCUAACUACGUGCCAGCAGCCGCGGUAAUACGUAGGGUGCAAGCGUUGUCCGGAAUCAUUGGGCGUAAAGAGCGUGUAGGCGGCCCGAUUAGUCCGCUGUGAAAGUCCAGGGCUCAACCCUGGAAUGCCGGUGGAUACUGUCGGGCUCGAGUCCGGAAGAGGCGAGUGGAAUUCCUGGUGUAGCGGUGAAAUGCGCAGAUAUCAGGAAGAACACCAACGGCGAAGGCAGCUCGCUGGGACGGUACUGACGCUGAGACGCGAAGGCGUGGGGAGCAAACAGGAUUAGAUACCCUGGUAGUCCACGCCGUAAACGAUGGGUACUAGGUGUGGGGGUGUCGACUCCCCCGGUGCCGAAGCUAACGCAUUAGUACCCGCCUGGGGAGUACGGCCGCAAGGCUAAAACGUCAAAGGAAUUGACGGCGNGAGAGNGCGACGACGACGACGAGGGAGAGG
rnacentral:rRNA from 1 species